GCCUAGGUGGCUCAAUCGGUUAAGUAUCCGACUUUGGCUCAGGUCAUGAUCUCAUGGCUCGUGGGUUCAAGCCCCACAUUGGGCU
rnacentral:tRNA from 1 species